AAAUGCCCAUGAUAUCUUAUCUCAGGGCUUUCUUGAAAACUCAAGGUGAUAGAUGCUGCCUGAACCAUUUAUCACACAUUGUACCUACUGCUACCAAGCUGUAUUUCUCUUUCUUAAAAGACCUAACUUUGCAAAUGCAUUUAAACUCAUACAGCCAAGAAAGAAGACAUUGCACAGAAUAGUCAUGGGAGAAGUGGGGCAGAGAGCAUGAGGAGCUGUGUGUACGUUUAAUGAAUGAGGGUUAAUAAUUUGUAUAAUUUGAAACAUGGAAGGCAGUCUGUUGAGUCACCUGAAAUAAUUUCUUCAAUAUGGAUAAGCCUUGUGUGUGGUUUCAGGUCGUUUUCCAGAGCAAUGAUUACACUUCCCUUGGCAAGAGGAUUGCUUCCGGAAAGCUUUGGGAGGGGUCUUCGAGGAAGAGGGGUGCUUCAAGCCAGGGAGCCAUCGGGCUAAAAUCUGAAGCAACCUACAAAGAGUAGAAAAGAGGAACGGGCUGCAAAAGAUGGGCACAGUGCCUGGAAUUUCAUGCUGAUAUCAUCUCCUUCGUGGUAGAGGGGAAAUCCAAGGAAAUCCACCAGUGCAUCACCAGGUAAAUCCAGCAUCUGACCCAAAGCUUUGCUUAAAAUAUGCCAUCUCCAUUAAUAAAAGGACUGGACAUAGGAACAGGGAUGAAGGAGCAGAGCUGAGAUUAGUGAAGAAAAGAGGAUUUUGACAAUAGUUGAUGCUAAACUGGGGAGAAAUGGGAGACAUUUAUUUUUCAUCAGGUACUGUGCUUUCAGUGGUGGGAACUGAAAAACUGGAG